rnacentral:lncRNA from 1 species
UGUCAUGUUAGCGCCAACAUGGAAUUCCAUGCCUAUUUUAUUAGCUUGUUGAGAUGACUUAUUAAAUUGGUGAGGGAAAGUAUUGAAAUUUUGUUCUAAAAUUCAGACAAAAAUGUUGAUUUAUUACCUUAAAAAAAAAAAAAAAAACAAAACAAAAACUUUUGUUAAACAAUCAUGUGGACUUUUUAAGCAAAAUAAGCUGUUAAGGUGAUAUUGGGGUCUUUUGAGAAAAAUGAAUACGAGGAUGAUAUUUUCUGAGUUACUAUUUAAAUGUAGGAACUAUUUUUUUAAGUUCACU